rnacentral:rRNA from 1 species
CCUACGGGAGGCAGCAGUAAGGAAUAUUGGUCAAUGGACGAGAGUCUGAACCAGCCAAGUAGCGUGAAGGAUGACUGCCCUAUGGGUUGUAAACUUCUUUUAUAUGGGAAUAAAAUGUUCCACGUGUGGGAUUUUGUAUGUACCAUAUGAAUAAGGAUCGGCUAACUCCGUGCCAGCAGCCGCGGUAAUACGGAGGAUCCGAGCGUUAUCCGGAUUUAUUGGGUUUAAAGGGAGCGUAGGUGGAUUGUUAAGUCAGUUGUGAAAGUUUGCGGCUCAACCGUAAAAUUGCAGUUGAAACUGGCAGUCGUGAGUACAGUAGAGGUGGGCGGAAUUCGUGGUGUAGCGGUGAAAUGCUUAGAUAUCACGAAGAACUCCGAUUGCGAAGGCAGCUCACUGGACUGCAACUGACACUGAGGCUCGAAAGUGUGGGUAUCAAACAGGAUUAGAUACCCCAGUAGUC